UAAAUAGAAACUUGCUAUUUAAAAAGGUUAGGAUGUAUUUCAAAAAGAAAAAUAAUUUUUAAUAUGUAGUUAUACAAGUAAUGAAUUAGAACGUUGGACAUUAAUUGGCUUUAGUUGAAAAGUAUUGUGUAAGAAAGUUGAAAUAAAGUUAAAAGAUAAUUAGAAGAAAGUAUUGUUAGAAGCAAGUACCUUGUGUAUCAGGGAAGUUCAAAAUUUAUUAUACAGGUUAGUUAUCCCGAAAGAAAAAUAGCUAAUAUAAAAAUUUCGUCUUAGUUGUAAAUAGGUUUAAAAUUUUAUAUUAGUGGUGAAAUAUUAGGCGGGUUUUCGAAUAUCUGGUUUUUUUAGAAAUGAAUUGAAUUCAGUUGCUUAAAUAUUAUUUUUAUGCAGUAAAUAAUAGGAGGGUAAGCUUCUUAUUAAAAAAAGAUUAUAAAUCUUAAGAGAAAUUAAUUUAAACUAGGCUUAAAAGUGGCCAUGUUAGUAAAGUGUUUCAACUAAGAAUAAAAAUUUAAGUUAUUUAUAUAGAUUUUAGUUUUAAUUAAAAAAAUAUAUUAAAGAUUGUCUUUUUAAUAGGAAUAAUGAAAUUAUUAGUAUAGAAUUUUUAUGAAUAGAGAAAAAUAAAUAAAUAUAAGGUUUAUAAUAUAUGAAAGUUAUUAAAAAGGAACUCGGCAAAAAUAGCUUUUGCCUGUUUAUCAAAAACAUGUCUUUAUGAAUCUUAAUAUAAAGUCUGGCCUGCCCACUGAUAUAAAGUUUAAAGGCCGCGGUAUAAUGACCGUGCGAAGGUAGCAUAAUAAUUUGUCUCUUAAUUGGAGGCUGGUAUGAAGGGUUGAACAAAAAGCUAACUGUCUUUAAGAUAAAUCUUAAAAUUAACGUUUAAGUGAAAAGGCUUAAAUGAGCUAGAGGGACGAUAAGACCCUAUAAAUCUUUAUAUUUUGGGUUAUAAGGUUAAAAAUUAGGUUAUCUUUUAAUUUUAUAAGGUUAAAUAUUUUGUUGGGGAGACAGAGGUAUAAAAAGAGAUAACUGCCUUAAAAUUUAUAGUUAAGAAUAGUUAAGAUUGAAAGUGAUCCUUUAAUAAGGAAAAUAGAAGAAGUUACUUUAGGGAUAACAGCGUAAUUCUCUUUGAGAGUUCAUAUCGAAAGGGGAGAUUGCGACCUCGAUGUUGAAUUAAAGAUCCUUUACGGUGCUAGAAGUUGUAAAAGGAGGUCUGUUCGACCUUUAAAUCUUUACGUGAUCUGAGUUCAGACCGGCGUGAGCCAGGUCGGUUUCUAUCUUCUAGGGAAAAAAUUAUUCUUUUAGUACGAAAGGAUUAAAGAGUAGUAAAAAUUAUAAAAAGAAAGAA
rnacentral:rRNA from 1 species